rnacentral:rRNA from 1 species
AUGAGGAAUUGUGGUAUUGUGUAUGUGGAGGAUGGAGAGUUAUCUAAGGAGGAGUUGAUCAAAGAGUUCUCUGAAAUUUACAAGACCAACUGGCCUUGGCAAGUGAGGGCUUUGGGAAGAUGGUCCUAUGUAGUUAAAUUUCCACCACAUAUUUCAGUGGAGCAAGUAGCUGGAUACCCUUGCUUUGGGCUGACAAAUCCAGAUAUCACUGUGAAUGUGGAGGUGUGGAAAGAAGAAUUAAAGGGCAUGGAAGAUCUCAAGGAAGUUUGGGUCCAGGUUAGAGGGUUGCUUCCAAGAUGGUGUGAGUGGUCUGUCUUAGAUCAAUGCACCUCAGCUUUUGGGCUGUUGAUUGACUUGGACUGGCAGGGGAUGUUUCAGUCUCUGUUUGAAUGUGUUAGAGUUAAAGUUCAGUGUAGGGACCCCACCAAAAUCCCUACUGAAAGAGUGUUUUGCAUUGGAGGAAAAACAUUUAAGGUGAGGAUGACUGUGGAAGUUCCUAUAGUGGAUCUAGUUAGCAAGGAUGCUGAGGUUAAUGGAGGAGGUGAUGAUAAUAGAGAGGAUCCAAGAAACCAGAAAGAUAUGGAUACUGAUGGCUUGGCAAAUCAGAAUAACACUGCUAAUGAUUCUGCUUCUGGAAGUAAUGGAGGGUCCUUAUCUGGAAGAGGAAAUGGCAGUGGAGCUGAUUUCCAGAAAAGGUCUAUUGAUGGUAAUGCUAGUAGUGAGUUUAACAUAUGUUUUGGGGAGGUUCAGGCUCAAGUUUGUGAUGUGGGUUUGGAUAUCUCUUUUGUGAUGCCUAUGGAAAAUCCUGAAAUGGAAGCCACUACCUUCAUUUUCUCUGAAAUGCAGCAAUUGAAUGAGAUGGCUGGGGAACUGGAAGAUCUGGAAAUUGCUACCCAAGAGGUUGGUGUGAUGACCCAGGCUGAUAGCCUCCCUGAGGAUAUUAUGCCCACUUUUCACUCUCUUGGUGAUAAUGAGGUGCUUCAAGAGAAAAAGGUGCCUGAGGAACAGGGGGUUCAGAAAAGGACGAAGCAGAAGAACUGGGGGCCAGUGCAGGCUGCCAGGAAGAGUACUAGAGUUCUUGGUAGUCAAAAUACCAUUGAAAAAGCUCAGCUACUAAAGAUGAAACAAAACCUUGAAAUCCCUACUAUGAGAGGUGUUGGGGCUGGUGUACCGUUAUCUCAGGGAUUGGACCAAGCCGUUUCAAGAUCUCCAGGGGGAAAAUGCAAGAGUUUCAAGCCCUGA